GGUUUAAAUAGCUGUGGAGCAAAGACAUCUGCCAUCACCUUGAUCAUCUACCAAGGUUGCUUCUUCUUCCCAGUCUUGGGUUCAAGGUCUUGACAAUCAUGAGGUUUCUCAUCCUUACCUGCCUUGUGGCUGUUGUUCUUGCCAGGCCUAAACUUCCUCUUAGACACCCAGAACUCAUUCAAAAUGAACCAGACUACAGAGAGGAAGUUCUCAAAGAAAGACAGUUUCCCAAGUUUGCCCUGCCUACAUCAAGAGAGCUAAGAGAGG